GAUGAACGCUGGCGGCGUGCCUAAUACAUGCAAGUCGAGCGAACGGACGAGAAGCUUGCUUUUCUGAUGUUAGCGGCGGACGGGUGAGUAACACGUGGAUAACCGACCUAUAAGACUGGGAUAACUUCGGGAAACCGGAGCUAAUACCGGAUAAUAUUUUGAACCGCAUGGUUCAAAAGUGAAAGACGGUCUUGCUGUCACUGAUAGAUGGAUCCGCGCUGGAUUAGCUAGUUGGUAAGGUAACGGCUUACCAAGGCAACGAUGCAUAGCCGACCUGAGAGGGUGAUCGGCCACACUGGAAGUGAGACACGGUCCAGACUCCUACGGGAGGCAGCAGUAGGGAAUCUUCCGCAAUGGGCGAAAGCCUGACGGAGCAACGCCGCGUGAGUGAUGAAGGUCUUCGGAUCGUAAAACUCUGUUAUUAGGGAAGAACAUAUGUGUAAGUAACUGUGCAGAUCUUGACGGUACCUAAUCAGAAAGCCACGGCUAACUACGUG
rnacentral:rRNA from 1 species